GCGACGUAGAUGCUACCAUUCAGGACCUUGCCUACUAGGCAUCGAAAGGGGAUAAGUGGAGUUAGAGGUGGCUAGAAGGUAGCCAUGGCCACCGGAUCAGCCGGUUUGACCAAGUAAGUAGUGGAGAUGAUGCAUGGUGACCAAGUAAUCAGACUUUGAUUCUUGUUUCUCAUGUCUAAUGUUCUUAUCAUCAGCCAUUGUCUACGGCUGGAGCAAGGACGUGCCCUGCACAGGGGAGUUCCACGAUGAACCCUUACUACUGAACAAAGCUCGUCAUCGAGAGCUGGGACCCUUUGGAAGAUCAUACUGCUCAGGUACUUCAACCCGGUCGCCGCUCACCCAAGUGGGCGCAAAUUGGUGAAAACCCCCUUUGGAAACCCAAACAACCCGAUGCCGUAUGUCCAGGCAAUAAGUUGCAUGAAGGUGGCAUGU